ensembl:lncRNA
AAGCUUUGGGUCUUUGGAUGAGAUAAGAAUUACAUGUUUUUUGUAGUAUGUGCCUUUUUGUUUCAGGAGCUCUUGAGGGAGGCCACCCUGGUCCGAAGUGCAUCUUACUUCUAACGUCUGCGUGGGCUCUAGCAAAGGAUCUAGCGGAAAAUACGGUUCAGGGAGUGUGUGAAGCCUGGGCCAACGCAGAGAACGAAGAGAAGACGUGGAGGAAGGACAUGGACUUUUGGCCUCGUAUCCACGCCUGCACCAAAGCCCAGACACCAGGUCUAUGUGGCUGUGUCUAACCAGCAGAUUUCUG